ACCACCGCACCACGGAGUUACUAGGAGGCUGGCGAUGCUCACAGCAUUACCUACUCGAAACUACAGACUGGAGGAAUUCACUCUCCGAUGUGAGAAGGUUUGCAGGAUCGAAGUCAUUCGAAGGACACAACUUGAAAGGACUAAGAAGAAAAGCAAACACUUAAAAAAAACCCAAAACCAACAAAUGCUACACGGAGCUGCAAGUUUCAGUAAAGAUUUCUCGCCUGCCUGGCGUUUUCUUCAUCUGAAGCAUAGCCUGAUGACAAGAGGGACUGCUUAUAAGACUUUUUAGGUUUGUCCAGCUCAGAGUCCCAUCGAGAUUUGUUGGCGUAUUCACACAAACUACUGUACUGGACAAACUGGACAAUAAAUAAUUUUGUUGUAUAUGUGCAACAGAAACUUAGAACAAUGUCCAAGAUUUAAAG